rnacentral:misc_RNA from 1 species
UUGUUACGUAUAGCAGAGCUAGAUAUGGGAAAGGAAAUAAUAGGAAUGGAGCUGUAGUUGUAUGAGGAGGAGAGUAGAAUAGUUAUUGUAGAGGGAGUCCUUGCUAUAUAAAUAAGAGAAAUGUAUUAGAGGAGACUCAUUCCAAGAAUCAAUAAACAAGAAUACUUUUCUCUCAUCUUUGAAUAUUCUCUUCUCUUCUCAUCCAACCUAAUCUAUUUCUUUUCUCAUCUAUUUCUCUCUCUCUCUCU